rnacentral:lncRNA from 1 species
CCUAGGUUGGUUCCAAUAAGGUAUCUUAGCUUGUCGUUCGGCCUUCAACUUGUUUACUUCCUUAAGGAGUUGUAAGACAAGGGGGUCCUGAGUGGAGUCAUGUACCACUGAAGCUUUCUUUCGUAAAUCUCCAUCUCCUCUUGGAAGUAGGAAAGUUUGAUCAAGAGCAUGUGAUUUUUCCCUGGACUCGCCGUAUUGACUUCCAAGGUAUGUAUUUUGGAACAUCUCUAAGUCCCAUAUACCUUCGUGUUUCUCUAGGACUUGUUGCCCCUUCCUCAAAUUGGUAGUCGACCUGAGACAUGGGAGAGGACCGAGUCUUUCAGAUACCCUUGGGUCAUUGAUCUUCGAGUUUACAUGGAUGGGAUUGUCU